rnacentral:rRNA from 1 species
AGAGCUUGCUCUCUGAUUCAGCGGCGGACGGGUGAGUAAUGCCUAGGAACCUGCCUGAUAGUGGGGGACAACGUUUCGAAAGGAACGCUAAUACCGCAUACGUCCUACGGGAGAAAGCAGGGGACCUUCGGGCCUUGCGCUAUCAGAUGAGCCUAGGUCGGAUUAGCUAGUUGGUGAGGUAACGGCUCACCAAGGCGACGAUCCGUAACUGGUCUGAGAGGAUGAUCAGUCACACUGGAACUGAGACACGGUCCAGACUCCUACGGGAGGCAGCAGUGGGGAAUAUUGGACAAUGGGCGAAAGCCUGAUCCAGCCAUGCCGCGUGUGUGAAGAAGGUCUUCGGAUUGUAAAGCACUUUAAGUUGGGAGGAAGGGUAUUAACCUAAUACGUUAGUGUUUUGACGUUACCGACAGAAUAAGCACCGGCUAACUUCGUGCCNNCNNCCGCGGNNNUACGAAGGGUGCAAGCGUUAAUCGGAAUUACUGGGCGUAAAGCGCGCGUANGUGGUUCGUUAAGUUGGAUGUGAAAGCCCCGGGCUCAACCUGGGAACUGCAUCCAAAACUGGCGAGC